AUACGGAGGGUGCAAGCGUUAUUCGGAAUCAUUGGGUUUAAAGGGUCCGUAGGCGGAUUGGUAAGUCAGUGGUGAAAGUCUGCAGCUUAACUGUAGAAUUGCCAUUGAUACUGCUAGUCUUGAAUUACUGUGAAGUGAUUAGAAUGUGUAGUGUAGCGGUGAAAUGCAUAGAUAUUACACAGAAUACCAAUUGCGAAGGCAGAUCACUAACAGUAUAUUGACGCUGAGGGACGAAAGCGUGGGGAGCGAACAGGAUUAGAUACCCCAGUAGUCC
rnacentral:rRNA from 1 species